AGUUUGAUCCUGGCUCAGGAUGAACGCUAGCUACAGGCUUAACACAUGCAAGUCGAGGGGCAGCAUUGGAGUAGCAAUACUUCAGAUGGCAACCGGCGCACGGGUGAGUAACACGUAUCCAACCUGCCGCUUACUCGGGGAUAGCCUUUCGAAAGAAAGAUUAAUACCCGAUGGUAUAAAGAGUUCGCAUGUUCUCUUUAUUAAAGAAUUUCGGUAAGCGAUGGGGAUGCGUUCCAUUAGAUAGUUGGCGGGGUAACGGCCCACCAAGUCUACGAUGGAUAGGGGUUCUGAGAGGAAGGUCCCCCACAUUGGAACUGAGACACGGUCCAAAUCCUACGGGAGGCAGCAGUGAGGAAUAUUGGUCAAUGGACGAGAGUCUGAACCAGCCAAGUAGCGUGAAGGAUGACUGCCCUAUGGGUUGUAAACUUCUUUUAUAAGGGAAUAAAGUGAGGGACGUGUCCCUUUUUGUAUGUACCUUAUGAAUAAGGAUCGGCUAACCCCGUGCCAGCAGCCGCGGUAAUACGGAGGAUCCAAGCGUUAUCCGGAUUUAUUGGGUUUAAAGGGAGCGUAGGUUGACAUAUAAGUCAGCUGUGAAAGUUUACGGCUCAACCGUGAAAUUGCAGUUGAUACUGUAUGUCUUGAGUGUACAAGAGGUGGGCGGAAUUCGUGGUGUAGCGGUGAAAUGCUUAGAUAUCACGAAGAACUCCAAUUGCGAAGGCAGCUCACUGGGGUACAACUGACACUGAGGCUCGAAAGUGUGGGUAUCAAACAGGAUUAGAUACCCUGGUAGUCCACACAGUAAACGAUGAAUACUCGCUGUUUGCGAUAUACAGUAAGCGGCCAAGCGAAAGCAUUAAGUAUUCCACCUGGGGAGUACGCCGGCAACGGUGAAACUCAAAGGAAUUGACGGGGGCCCGCACAAGCGGAGGAACAUGUGGUUUAAUUCGAUGAUACGCGAGGAACCUUACCCGGGCUUGAAUUGCAGAGGAAUAUAGUUGAAAGAUUAUAGCCGCAAGGUCUCUGUGAAGGUGCUGCAUGGUUGUCGUCAGCUCGUGCCGUGAGGUGUCGGCUUAAGUGCCAUAACGAGCGCAACCCUUAUCAUUAGUUACUAACAGGUCAUGCUGAGGACUCUAGUGAGACUGCCGUCGUAAGAUGUGAGGAAGGUGGA
rnacentral:rRNA from 1 species